rnacentral:lncRNA from 1 species
CCACUCACAUUAUUGCAAUAUCAAAUAAGUUACUGUCAAGUGAGUAGACAACUAUGUAUAACGACCCAGCCCACUAGCAAUAAUAACUCGUUGGGCCCAACCACCGGCCCAAAAUGCUUAAGCCUAUUUAUUAUUACUAGUGUCUAAGUCUCUUAUAUACCCAAUCUAUUCCUAUCCGAUGUGGUGACGUCCUCGUUAGUCUAAUCACACACACAGUCCAAGAUCACCAGGCGAUGUGAGACUUGUCUCGCUAGCCUUGUCAUCCAGACCCUGACAUAGCCGGUCACCUUGUCAUACAGACUCCGGCAUAAUCUAUCACCUUGUCUUUCAGACCCUGGCUCAACCGAGACUCACCACAAAUUUUCGGCUUGUGAUUGGCUCUGAUACCAAAUGUAAUGACCCAGCCCACUAGCAAUAAUAACUCGUUGGGCCCAACCACCGGCCCAAAAUACUUAAGUCCAGUUAUUAUUACUAGUGUCUAAAUCUCUUAUAUACCUAAUCACAUUCCCAUUCCUAUCCGAUGUGGAAUUAUUGGGGUGUGACGUCCUCGUCAGCCCUAAACGCACAGCCCAAGAUCAUCAUUCCGACCCUGACUAAGCCAAAACUCAUCUCACACUUUCGGGUGGUGAACUAUCUCUGAUACCAAAUGUAACGACCUGACCUGCUAACAAUAAUAACUC